AAAAAUCAAAUCACUGGAACAUUUUCAAUUAACACUGAAAAUAAAUGAAAUAAUUUUCUCUUUUGUCUAUUUCAGGCCCGGUGGCGGCUGCCAACGAUGUGACAGAAGAACCAUCACCAGAUGAUGAGAAACGAAGGAACUAUGGAGGGGUGUAUGUGGGGCUUCCUGCUGAUCUGACCACAGUAGCUGCUAGCCAAUCAAAAUCAACACGAAAAG